rnacentral:rRNA from 1 species
GUGAGGAAUAUUGGGCAAUGGAGGCAACUCUGACCCAGCCAUGCCGCGUGCAGGAUGACGGCCCUCUGGGUUGUAAACUGCUUUUAUACGGGAAGAAAAAAUACUACGUGUAGUAUACUGACGGUACCGUAAGAAUAAGGAUCGGCUAACUCCGUGCCAGCAGCCGCGGUAAUACGGAGGAUCCAAGCGUUGUCCGGAUUUAUUGGGUUUAAAGGGUGCGUAGGCGGAUCUUUAAGUCAGUGGUGAAAGCCUGCAGCUUAACUGUAGAAUUGCCAAUGAAACUGAAGAUCUUGAAUGUGGUUAAAGUAGGCGGAAUGUAUCAUGUAGCGGUGAAAUGCUUAGAUAUGAUACAGAACACCGAUAGCGAAGGCAGCUUGCUGAACCAUUAUUGACGCUGAGGCACGAAAGCGUGGGGAGCGAACAGGAUUAGAAACCCCAGUAGUCC